rnacentral:rRNA from 1 species
UAGGGAAUCUUCCGCAAUGGGCGAAAGCCUGACGGAGCAACGCCGCGUGAGUGAUGAAGGGUUUCGGCUCGUAAAACUCUGUUAUUAGGGAAGAACAAAUGUGUAAGUAACUGUGCACGUCUUGACGGUACCUAAUCAGAAAGCCACGGCUAACUACGUG